CACAAUAAAAAAGGCCAAGAUAAAUGGCCCAGUCAAAAAAAGAGGCCUUUUGUUAUAUCAACUAAUAUAUUACUAGGGUUUGCAAUAGAAGGUUCAUAAUUUUAUUUCUCAACAUCCUCUCUCUACUGAAUAAGUCGAUAGUGAUGAGAUUCCAUAAUAAAAGUCUAGUUCAUGUUCUUCUUUGGAUGAUCAACACUCAUGUCCCUCUUUGGUGUUCAUCGUUGCUUCUCGUCUUGUAGAAGUUAGAUCACAAGCUAUCAGUAUUGAGUUUGAUCCUGUAAUAAUCUGUUCUAGGGAUGUGGGUGAGCACAUGGCUUUCUGGGAUAUCUUAUCUCAUUUCUGUAUUUACAUUUUGACAUAACUUUUGCUUUUUUUAGACAAUCUUCUUUAUAAGGUCCACUUUUUGGACUUUUACUCUUUCAAUAACCAGCUUCUGUGAGGUAUCUUUUGUAUAUA